UUUGAUUGGAAAAAGUAUGGGAGUUCACAUUAGAGAUUGAGGAUUCGAAUGGACACAAAAGAUCUGCCAAAACAUGAAUCAAAAAAAUUGAACAGAUUCAACAAUACCCGUCUAUAUCGUGAGCUAGGGUUGGCUACAUAAAAAGCUAGAAGUAACCAAUUUGAUUGGAAAAAGUUCGAGAAUUCAAAUUAGAGAUUGAGGAUUCAAAUGGACACAAAAGAUCUGCCAAAACAUGAAUUCAAAAAACUGAACUGAUUCAACAAUACUUGUCUGUAGCGUGAGCUAAGGUUGGCCAGAGCAAAGGCUAGGAUUGUCCAA
rnacentral:lncRNA from 1 species